rnacentral:rRNA from 1 species
GAGCACGUAGGUGGGUUUGUAAGUCAGGUGUGAAAGCCUUCUGUUCAACGGAAGAAUUGCAUCUGAAACUGCGAGUCUUGAGUGUAGGAGGGGAGAAUGGAACUUCUGGUGGAGCGGUGAAAUGCGUAGAUAUCAGAAGGAACGCCGGCGGCGAAAGCGAUUCUCUGGCCUAUUACUGACACUCAGUGUGCGAAAGCUAGGGGAGCAAACGGGAUUAGAUACCCCGGUAGUCCUAGCCGUAAACGAUGGGCACUAAGUAGAGGGGUUUU